ensembl:lncRNA
GUUCAGGAAACCGCCCAAUGUCUCAGUCAACUUCCUGCUGCCUGCAAGAUGUAAGACUCUCAGCUACUACUCCAGCACCACCACAUCUGCCUGAGGCUUCCUGUCAUGAUAAUAAUGGCCUGAACCUCUGAAACUUUCCUAAUGCCUAGAAUACAUAUGCAAUGGCAGAAACUCCAGCAGUCAUCUUGAGCUGACCUGGGUGAAAACACAAAGCCACAUGGCAGAGCAGUGAGAGGAAGAGCCUGGAACCACACUUAGAGCCACCUUUGUCCAAACUACCUGGAAUAGCAGGCAGCCCGUCUUCUUCUCACUGUGCUGUGCCCACCCCUGACGCCCCGAGCAAGGAAAAGGAGCGAAGCCAGAUGGGAUAGAAUUGUGUAGGACUCUAGAAAACAAAGAUGGGCCAUUUCCGCCCAUCUUUGUUUCCGCCCAUGUUGUUCUUAAGCAUUGAAAGACUAGAGAGGGAUACUCAGAAGAGUGCAGCUCUCGAGAAAUGGGCCCUCUCCACAGUGCUGUGUUGUCAGACUGACAACUGCGGUCGAUCAUCACUCCAGGAUCAGUUUCUCAUCUGGAGGUUCUGACUCCAUGUCAUUAAGCACAGUCCAACCAUCAACACCAAGAGAAGAGACAGUGUCUUAGUUUCUUUUCUGUUGAUGAGAAAAAAUACUCUGGUAUAAGCAACUUAAUGGAGAAAGAGCUUAGUGUAGCUGCAUUCCAGGUUAAGUCUAUCAUAUGGGGAGCUCAAGGCAGCAGGAGCGUAGAGCAGCUGGUCACAUGUCCAUAACCAGAAAAAGAGCAAUGGAAGCAUCACAUAUACGCAGCCCAGGAUCUCCUGCCUGGGGAAUGGCGCCACCCUCGGUGGGUGGGUCUCACUGCCUUAAUUAAGAGACAUUCUCAGAGGCCUGCCUUUCAGAUGAUUGUAGAUUUUAUUGACAACACUAACCAUCACAGACUAGGACUGUAUGUAGCUCAGAGGUAGAUAGAGCACUUGGCUAGCAUGUGCAAUGGCCCAAAGCCGGAAAAAAAAAAAAUCAGACAAAUGAAUGGUAUCCAAAAUAAAGAACUUUUAAAAUGAAACAAUAAUAAACAGCUCAAAUUUAAAAAUGAUCCAAGGAGUUAUUCAGGUGGAAAUAAUGUUUAUUGGAAGAAUAGUUGAGUAGCAUUUACUAUGCUAGAUCUCACCCCAUCUCUCUAGGACCUUGAUGAAAAGCCAAUGAGAGGAAGAAAGCCCUGUUCACGAAGCUCUGGCAAAAUCCCCUCAGAGGAGCAGAUGGUUUUGUCUCCGUGACAACGAGAAGGGCCAGAAUUUGAAGGUGCUGAUGGAUCCCUCUCACAUGAGGGUGCCCAGCACGACAUCCAGACACCACCUGAGGCUGGAAUUACGGGGGAGGGGGGGGCUGACAAAUGACAGCUGCGGCCUGUUCCGACUAGAUGAUGACGGCGGGAACCCGUGGUUCGCUUCGGGGAAAGCCUCAGUGUGAUACGGUGGGAGCAGAUGGGAAGCUUUCCAGCGCCCAAGGUAGAUGUCUUGGGAGUGUCUAGCAGGUCAGGAGGCCCUACUCCCCUUGAUCUCUCUAGGGUCACAUUCCUAGGACACCAAACAUGUCUACCUAACAUAUCAUCUUCAGUCAUCCAAGCACAGAAAAGGGCAUUAUGCUCGCUGACAGGGCGUAUGUUACAUCUCACACUUGACUUUCAAGACCUUGAAUGAAUUUUGCUGAAAUAAAUGUUCACCUCUGGGUUUAGUCCAAGUGUGUGAGGUUUUGGUCCCUAUGGUGUUUUUCUUUUAAAAGAAUAUUAAGAGUGACUGAAAAGAGGGAUUUAGAAU